AACGAACGCUGGCGGCGUGCUUAACACAUGCAAGUCGAACGCGAAAGGGACUUCGGUCCUGAGUAAAGUGGCGCACGGGUGAGUAACGCGUGGAUAAUCUGCCCAAUGGACCGGGAUAACAUUCCGAAAGGGGUGCUAAUACCGGAUAAGACCACGGAAUCUAUGGAUUCUGCGGUAAAAGGUGGGGACCUUCGGGCCUACCGGCAUUGGAUGAGUCCGCGUACCAUUAGCUAGUUGGUAGGGUAAUGGCCUACCAAGGCGACGAUGGUUAGCUGGUCUGAGAGGAUGAUCAGCCACACUGGAACUGAGACACGGUCCAGACUCCUACGGGUGGCAG
rnacentral:rRNA from 1 species